AGAAAUAAACUAUAUAACAUUAACGUUAAACUGCUAGAGGAAGAUGUGAUUGAAUGGAGAUCGGAAGAAAAAAAUCAAUAUGUAUGCAUACAGAAUCAUAAUCCAGCAGACGAAUGCCAUAAUUAUUUGAGGGUAUUUGUUGAAGUAACACUCGAAAUCUUUUUGAUAUGCGGAACAAAUGCUUAUGAUCCAACAUGCAGAGAAUACUUAAUUAGUAAUGGAGAGAAAAAAGUAACUGAAGAAUUUUCUGCUAGAGGAAUAUGUCCAUAUAGUCCACAUUUUAAUGUUACUUCAUUAGAAGCAAAUGGGUUAUUUACAGCUACUUAUGAGUGGGAUUAUGGUCCUUAUCCAAUAAUAUCUAAAAAAACACUUCAACCGAAUAUUCAAAUAAGAACGCCACAUAAACAUUUAAGUCACUUAAGUGAAA